GCGUUUUCAAAGGUCACGCAUGACAUUCACCGACUUGUUUAUCAAGACAUUGCCAUACUUUGCGUUUGGAAAGGAAAUAUCAGAGUUAAUUAAUAUGGUUAAGAGAGGCAGGACUGCGCAGGCUUGUGACAUCGGGCAGUGAAGCGCAGAAGAUUUAAAAGGAACACAGCCUUAUACAGCAGGCAGCAGAGUGAGCCGGGAGCAGAGUGAAGGCUUAAGGGCUUUGGCUCAACCGGUUUAGGCGCAAACAGGCGAGGCAAGAACUGCCUGGGUGAUAGUUGAACGAGGACAAUGAGAGAAUAAACAAGGGGACAUGCAAAAGCUGUGAAACACAGGUGGGAGCUUUUGCUAAAAUUUAAAACCAAUGGAUGAAUUCUGGUAAUGCCCAGCAGAUCAAACCGUGCCAGUGCAAAGAGGAAAAUUGAAUUACUAUUGCAGAACCGACUGGUUCUAACAGAAAAAGCAAGUUAUCUGAAAUGGGUGAAUUCAAUAUUGUGUCUAAAGUGCAGCAUGUUGCAGCCAAAGAUGAGAUGCUGUUCUUCAAAUUUACAUUGGGACUUGUUGGAAAAAUACAAAAGGCUACAGAUAACAUAGAUGGAGGUGGACUGUAACAUUAUAGUUGCAGGUAAUUGGAAGCUCAUGGUUGCCUCUGUGGACUGAAUGGAGAUCACCCAAUCUGCAUUCAGAUUUUCCAAUAUAUAACAGGUGCACUGUGAGCCCUGAAUGCAAUACACCCAAUUGGAAGAAAUGCAAGUGAAUCACUGCUUCAUCUGGAAGAUUGGUUCACUGGAUUGUAGGAUGGGAAGAAAAGAAAGGACAGGUAUUUCAUUGCCAUAAGGGAAAGUGGAUAAUAAGAAAGUUGCUGGAGAUGAAAGAAUGGACCAAGAUAUUGUAUAGGGAAAUCUCCAUUCAGAAUACUGAGAGGGGAGGGGACGAGAUCUGUCUGGUGGUAAAGUCUUGAAGUUGACAGAAAUUAUGCAGGUUGAUUUGUUGAAUGUAAAGGCAGUUGGGGUAGAAGGCAAGGACUGGGCGGGCAUUCUUUGUUCCGACUGGGAGUAGAGGAACUGAGUAGAGAUGCAGGAAAUAGCUGAGAUAAAGAUUCUGUGGACUGUGAUGGGAAGCCAUAGUUAGAAAAUGUAAGAUAUUUUAGAGACUCUGAGGGCAGAAAAACUUUGAUUUUAGUAUUUCCAUUGUUUAAUAGGAAGAAAUUUCUACAGUGGUUAGCAAAUCUAGAGACCAUGGGCAGGUUGAGAGCAUAUGAUGUGAAAUUCAGUGUUACAAAUUUAGAUACAGAGCUUGAUUUCAUUUUGAAGAGUUUAUUGUUUCUGAAAUGUGAUAAGGUGUUGUCCCAGGAGGUAUUCUUUAAUUUAUGUCUGGGCUGUCAGCUGAUUGAUAUAAUUUGCUCUUGCACAAGAAAAAUGACUUGCAGCUUCACAGCAACUUCAGGGAUGGGGGAAAGUGCAUGGAAUGUGUGUGCCUACUGUCAAUGUGGGAGCAGUUAGUUUUCUUAAUUAAAGCUGUUAUUUUUGAUCUAAUUUGUUAACAGUUCACUCUUAAGAAACCAUUUCACCAAGGCAUUUUUUUCCCUCUUCCUCUCGUGCAAUAGAUAUUUUGUAUUCACUGUAAAGAAUACUUUCUGAGGAAUGUAAAUUCAUAGAACAAUCUCAAGUAAGGCUACAAAUGCCUUGUACCAGCAGAAUGCACUAUUUCCAGGCAGCUUGGGCUCAAAUAAAUUUUCCUUCUCAAAACGUCAUGACCCUCAACCUGGCCGGCUGGCAUCCUGAUCAGAGGCCUGAUCCAUAACCAAACUUGUACAGAAACCAAUCUCAAAGUUCCCAGAAACCAAGUUCAAUUCCACAUCAUACAGAUAUUUCCAUAAAGACAUAGGAGCAGAAUUAGGUCAUUUGGCCCAUCGAGUCUGCUCUGCUAUUCAAUCAUGGCUUACCCUUUUUUGGUCCCCCUCCACAGCUCCACUCCCUGGCCUUCUCCCCGUAAACUUUGAUGCUUGAUGGCCCAUCAAGAACCUAUCAACCUCUGCCCUAAAUACACCCAAUGACCUUUCCUCCACAGGAGCCUGUGGUAUCUCUGUUGUCUUGAGACUUGGGCAGUCCCAUCUCCUGGACUGGAUCUGUGCAAGGCCUACAUUCUUUUUCUCCAUGUUCCACUGGUAAUAUUCGUUGGCUCCAAGGUGGUAUGUUCUGCACAGUAUUAACGACAACAAAUGGGUUAAGGAGGUUGAAUGCAUCACUGUCAGAAUCUCGGGGAAAUAUUUGUGACUUUGGUUACAGCUAUUUAAGCAGGAGGGAAAAGACAUCUCAAAAAUGUAAAGAAAAAUAUGGUAGUUUUCAGAGACAGAGCUGAGAGCUACUUUUUAAAAAAUAAAGUUAGGAGAAUGGAAGUUCUACAUUUCUACAGCACUUUUUAUCAUUUUUAGGAUAUUUAUUUAUUGAGAUACAGCGUGGAAUAGGCCUUUCUGGCCCUAUGAACUGCGCCACCCAGCAAUCUACUGAUUUAAUCCUAGUCUAAUCACAGAAUACUUUACAAUCACUGAUUGACCGACUAACUGGUAUGUCUUUGAACCGUGGGAGAAAACCAGAGCACCUGGAGAGAUCUACAAGUUCACGGGGAGGAAAUACAAACUCCUCCGGACAGUGGCGGGAAUUGAACCUGGGUUGCUGGUACUGUAAAGCGUUGUGCUAACCACUAUGAUACCAUGCCAUCCAACCGCUUUACAGUAUGAGGUACAUCGGGAGUGUUUUGCAGACUAGAAAUGUGAUGACUAAUUUGGCCCCAGCAAUUCUCAAGUACACUAAUGUGAUGAUUACCAGAGAAGUGAUUUAAUAUGCAUGGUCUGAAAACAUGAAACAGCCUUUGACAUUAGAUAAUUAUCUGCAAAUUUAGAAAUAGUGGAAGCAGCACAGGCCAGAUCACAGUUCACAAUGUAAGCAUAUUUGUAUUCAGCCUCAAUAACUUGUUACUGACCCUAAACACUUAGUCUUAUCAAAUCCCUUCAUGAUUUUUGCUACUUAUAGUGUAACUUCUAAUCUCUAAUCUAAGGAGAAAUACUUCAGGUUCUCCAAUCUCUUUUGCAUAUCAGACAUUCCUGGAACUCUCCUUGUAAAUUCCCUCUGUACCUUCUCUUUCUUGCCAUCCUUCAUGAAGUGAAGUGUCCCAAAUUGGUCCUAGAGCCUGGAUUAUCUACAAAGGGCAUCUCAAGGCACUGGAAAUACCACCAGGGUCUCUGCAAAAUCCUCCAAAUUCAGUGGCAGGAUUACUAACCCAAUGUCAUCUAUCAGGCCAACAUUCCUAGAUUUGAGGCCCUAAUUACACUCUGAUAUCUCCUUUGGACAGGUCACAUUGUCUGCCUGACACUAUUCCAAGAUCCACAAAGGAAGAGAUCACUGGGUGAACAGAGGAAAAGAUUCAAAGAUGAGCUCCUGGGAACCUCUGGACAGCAGUGAGAACCUCGAGUCCAGAAGCAGAGAAAGAGAGGAAGGCAGCAAUAUAGUGAGACACCAGGGUGCACUUUGCUGCAAAACUCACUCUUUCAUUGGAAAUUGGUGGAGGUGAAUGUAUCUCUAGAUCAUGGCAGCACGAAGGCACAUAUAAACACCAAGUAAAUGGCAGAAGAAUGAACCAAGUUACAAACUAUCCACCCAGGCCAUCAGGAAAGUCCCUGCCACACAUGUAGAAGAGUCUACAAUUCCCACAUUGCCUUAUCAGACACCCAGAACUGGGGUCCUCAAUUCUGCAGGAGGCAACAUUGUGGAUAUGUAUCAAACAGAAAUCUACUUGCCAUUUUAUGUAGAACAAUUCAUGUACUUUAUGAAAUAAGGCCCUCUAGAGGCAACACUAAAAAUAACCAAGUUGGACAAACCAGUUCAUUAGUGGCAUCUUCAACAGUGGCACUUCACAGUGUAAACAUUCUGACAUUCAGUGAUAAAGCAGCCUUCAAAAAUGCGGCUGUGAAAGCAUACUGUUGGGGGUAAGGUCACAUGUUUCUAUAAAUACAGUAAGCUAGUCCUGCAAGUUCACACCUGGGAAUUUCCAUAUUUUGUACAGAGACCACCAGCUCCCAAUGCAGUGUUGCUAUUCUUCCAAAACAAGGAUGAAAUAAAGCCAAAGGGCAUAUAAGUGCCAAACCCUUUGAGCAACUCUUUUAGAAGCACAUUACAAUUUGCUGUGUUUUUCCUAGUUCUGGUGAAAAGUCAUCGAUCUGAAAGUAACUCUUGUUUCUCUCUCCCCACAGGUACAAACUGACCUACUGAAAAGCUUAAGCAUUUUCUGUUCUAUUUCACUAUUCUGUAACCUCACUGUAUUUUUCAGUUCAGUUAAGAAUCAUUUGGAAGCAAAGGUUGCCUAUGGAGAGGAACUGAAGUAUUCCACACCCACCUAUAUCUAGAUUAUAGCUAAACAUUUUCAGUAUUGCGACAAACUUAACAUAAAAAAUGUGCAUGCGGGUCAAAAGUCAGAAAUUGCUUAAAGAGCCAGUCUGCCUAAUUACUCCUGCUAAUUGGCUUGUGUAUUCCAGUGAAGUCAGCAGCAAGCAACCCCACAGAGCCGAUCAAACCACUUCAUGUUUUUCAAACAGAGAUCUAAAACAAGUAACAAUCACAAGUAUACCAAAACAGUUUCAAGCUAUUUCCAGAAUAAUUAUUCUUCAGGUUGGUGUAUACGGUUAACAUUUAAAGCAUCUCAGAGAGACAAUGGCAAGAAAUGAAAAUCACAGUGCUCACCCAAAAAAAUGUGUGAAGUGUUUAAACCACCUGCAGUGGAGCUUUCUACAGUAGUGGCAAUGAUAGCAUUCAGGCUUAGACUGAUAAUUGUCAAAUUACAUCUGUGCGACAAAAAUGCAAGUCUAUGUCUGUCUCUAACCACCUAUUCUUGACAUUUAAUAGCUUUACCAUAAUCAAAUUUCCCCAUGGGUAACAUCUUAGUGGUUACCAUUAAAUCAACAAUGUACCUCAGCUAUUCAGCAGUGUGUCUGUCUGCAGUGUGUACAAUCUAUAAAAUACACUGCAGGAACUCAUGAUGAACAGAAGAAGUGGACCCAGGACAUCAUGCCUGCUCUGAUCAUAGCUGAUCUUGUGCCUCACUGCCACAUAUCCCCAUAUUUCUUUAAUACCUAAAAGUAUCCAACCCUUCCUCAACAUUACCUGUAAAACCUAAGACCUGUGCCACGUGGUUGGCACAUGAGAAUACCACAACUGCAUAUUCCCUUGGAAGUUGAACACCAUUUUGACUUUAUUUUCUUUCCCCUCUGUUACUGAGUUUAAAUCAUGGAACUCCCUACUCAACACCACUGUGGCAAUGUCUUCACCAGAAGGACAGCUGCACUUCUCAGUGAGUCACCUCUAUUGUGCAAUGGAUGCUGGCCUUCCCAGUGCUCACAUACCCCACAAACAAAAAAUAAAAUUGCACAAAUUUUAUAAACCAACAUGGAAGGUGGAGAAAAAACAAAGACUUCAUAAUGUAAACAACAGUUGUUUUGAGGGAAGAUGAUGUUUUAAUCAAGUAUUGUAGAAUAUUUAUUAAUUGAUCUAACUGCACGCCCUGUUGCCUUUCAAUAGCAAUUGUCACUGAGUUUUGUAGCACAGAAACAGGACUUUUGGUCCACCACGUCCAGGCCAACAUUUUUGUCCAUUGACGCCAAUCUCAUUUGCCCACACCAGUUUCAUAUUCUGCUACGCCUUGUUUAUUUAAGUCUAAAUGUCUAUCUGAUUUCACUGCUUCCUCUGGCAGUGAGUUCCAGGUUUCAACCUAUUUGGUGUAAAAAAACACUUACCUACCAAUUCCCUGAAAAACUCCAUCCUUGCACCUGUGCCCUCCUGUUUUUGAUACCCAUAGCAUAGGAAAAGAUAUCUACACUAACUUAAUUUUGUAUGCUUCAAUCAAGUCACACCUUGGCUUCCUUCACUUUAAGGGAAACAAACCCAGACUAUUCAAUGUCUCUCCAUAACUCAAGGCUUCCAAUCAAGACAACAUUCUCGUAAACCUGUCUGCUCUCCACUCUCUUCAGCACAACCACGCACUUCCUGUAGUGUGAACUGCCCAAAUACUUCAUGUGUCAUGUAACCAUUGUUUUGUAAUGUUGCAGCAUAAUGUCCCAAUUUUUGUAUUCCAUGCCCUGACCUAGGAAGGCAAGCAUGCCAUAUGUCUUCUUCACCCCUUUUAGGGAGCUCUGGAUUUGAACCUAAGGUCUCCCUGUUCAUCAAUAUUUCUUUAUACCUGACUAAUUAGUAUUUACUUUCUUCCUCUAUUUGAUUUUACAAAAUGCAUCACUUUCCACUUAUUGGGAUUACAUUCUAUCUUCCAAUGUUCCACCCAGCUUUCUAUCUGAUCUAUAGCCUUAGUUAAAUGUCCUUGCUGUCCACAUCACUACUAGCUUCUGUGUAGUCUGCAAACGUACUAAUCAUUCCUCUUAAAUUCACAAUGAAGUCAAUAAUACAUAUCACAAAAGUCCUAAGCACUGAACCUUGAGAUACACCACUGGUGUAUCAGACUUCCUAUAAUCAAAACUUCCUACACACCACCUUGUCUCCUAUCAUCAAGUCUAUUUUGGAUCCAAUUAACCAGUUCAUCUUGGAUCCCAUAUGCUUUAAACUUCUGGGCCAGCCUAUCAUGCAGAAUAUUGUCAAAUGCCUUUCUAAAGUCCAUAUAGAUAAUAUCUACCACCCUGCUUUCAGCAAUCUUUUUUACCUACUCAAAAAAUUCAUCCAAAUUAGUGAGGCAGGAUUACCCCUUCACAAAGCCCUGCUCUCUAUCCCUGAUUAAACAUUGCAUUAAACAUUCCCUACCAUUGAUGCAAUACUCACCAGUCUGUUUUUACUUGGUUUAUUCCUGCUACCCUUCUUAAAUAAAGAACCAAUAUUAGUGGCUAAAGAUGCAAAAUUUCUGUUGGCCCCAGCUAUUUCUUCCCUUGCUUCCCAAAGCAUUCUAUGAUAGAUCUCAGUUCAAUUAAGGAUUAGAUAGAACUAUAUUACUUCAAAUCCUAUGAUAAAUUGCUCCAUUAAAAUGAUGGGCGAAGCUUCAUGUUCAGGAUGAGUAGUAGCUCAGGUUUCAAAGUUCUACCUCAGCAACAGCAUAAAAUCAGGUGCUUAGAGAAAGUAAGGAGGCACUGCAAGUACUUUGUGGAGCUUUUAAAAUACCAUAAGCUUGCUAAAUAAAGUUAAUAAAUUAAGCAACACCAUCUAAUUAAUGUUCAAAUUCUCUUCUGCUACUGUUCCACUAACACCAACCACUCAGAUACUGUCCAAGUUAUUAUUUAUGAGCUUCAACAGCAUUAAUGGAGCAUUUAACCACAGGGGCAUUGAAGGCAGAUAUAACCCAGUUCUCAUUUGCACUCUAUACAUGAACUUGAAGAAUGGGAACCCGUGUGGUUUACUCUUACUUAGUUAAGGAGGGUACUCCUGUCACCCAGUUUGAUCAAUGUAGAUGGAUAGCCCAUGUGGGACUUUAGUUCCUCAAGAGAACAAACAGAAGCUCUUGGAAUUGACAGAUUAAACUAGGAGUUUGUUGUAAGAUAAUUCUGUUGCUAUUAAACAGAGCAAGUGCCAAAUUCCAACUACAACAGAUUUUAAAAAGUGUUAUGAGUUGAAACAGAUUUAAAUAAUCUCUAUGUAUUUUUUCAGAAGACCAUUACAGGAAGAAAGUUAAACCCAUUUCUGAACUUAAAUGAUUCAUAAAGCGUAUUUAUUUUUUCACCGUAUUCAACAUUAUCAUUUUUGAGCUUUAAUAUAGAUUGAAACUAAAAAUUUAGUUAAAUGAAUUACAAAUAUUUUAACCAAGAUGAGAGAAUUUUGUCAUUUUACAAACUUUCUGUCUUAGUAGCACCAUUGUUCAACUGGUCACUAAACAGUAUGGCAGAUAUGCUUCCAGCUUGGGUCCCCAGUCUGUGUGAUGUUAACCAGUUGGAGCUUGGGCAGCAGUCAGUUCAACAACACAGACCAAAAGAGCAAGAUCAAUUUGAGCUGUUUCUGAUGAAACUCCAGUAAUCCUUACUGGAAAGUGUAAGUUUGCAAAAACUGGAUAAUAACCAGUUGGGACAGAGCUAUGAUGCUAUUCAGGUACAUUCAAUGAAUGAUGGGUUAGGCAAAGUAUCAGAGGGCAUCAGGUGCCUGAACCCAUAGCUCAUGACUACCAUCUUCAGGAGAUAAAACAAACACUAUUAUCCAAUCUCAUUGUUGUCAUUCUCCCCCUCUCAAAAAAACCCCGCAAAAGUCCAACAUUUAAAAUACAUUUUCCAAAAGGGGUUUCUGUAUAGUGAUCAGCAGCAGGUAGUGGUCAUUUGCCCAUCUCCUUCAACGGAAUCAACUGGAUUUCCCUGAUUGUUACCCUGAGAUCAGAUCAAUUCGGGAGGCAGAACUGAACCUGGCACCUGCCUGAUCUGCUUUGCACCAAAGAGCAUUUGGUGGAAAAUUUACCCAUCAUUCCAGGAAAGAUCUUAACCCACAAUUAUACUGUUCUUUGAUUAUCUUGAACAUAAUGUUAGUCAAUGUACUAUUUUUUAGUGCUCAAUGUACUGUAGCCUCUGAAAACAUAAUUUGCCACGUAGCAGCCUGACAAUUUUGCAAAAACACAGUUAAAUGACACUAAUCUCUGCAAUAAUAACCACUGUGGUAACUACUUGGUGCUUUUCUUAUUGGUGAGAAAAGUACAUACUACGUACUAGGACUUUGUGGAAAUGUCAAAUUUGGAUAACUAUCGAGAUAAGUUGAAAUCAGCUACCACAUCAAUGAGUGACUUUGAACAUUAUGGUCUGAUGUACCCAGAGACAGUAAAGAUUCAGAGUGUACACAUUCAACUACAAUAACAGACAGGCAUCAGAUGUUAAUCAAUCACCUUUCUGCAGAUGUUCAUGCCACAGUCUUUCUGUGUAAAUUAGUUUGAAAUUUGGCUCUUUGGGCUUUCAAUUAACCCUUUCAAACCCCAAUAAAAUCAAUCCCUGAUCUACCAUAUCUUCCAAAAUUCAACAAAUACAUCAUAACAUUCUAUUUGCUGGGAGAUAUAUUCUAGUAUUUGAGAAUUACAGCUUGGUGUUUUCAUUACCUCUUUGAUGAUGAAGAAUGCAAGUCUUGAAUAGUCAUGACCCAAAGCUUGUUCCUUCCACAAUCCUCUCCACCAUGGACUUGAUCCAACCUAUUUAAUCUCUUGAGGAUUGAAUCUGGGAUACUCCUAAUCUGCAUUGUUUUAGUACCACAAUAUACCCAACCAAGUAACAAUACUUUUAAUUUGAUGUAUAUUUAAAAAGUUACAGUAAAAUUUAAAUUAUCAAUCCCUUUAUGUAUUUUGGAGGAUGGAGAUGCAAUACUGUAUGUUCUUAGAAUUUAUGUCUUUAAAAAGUAUAAAGUGUGCAGUGUUAUAAGUAUGAAGUGACCACACUUCCCUAACUUCACACGUAUAUCAUUAGCCAUAAAGCACAUGAAAGGUUCAAUGUAAUACUAAACUAAUACUUGGUCAACAUGUACUUGGAAAGAUUUAAGGAUAGGUUUGUUUUAAAAUAAAACUGUCCAAAUCAGGCACAUUGGUUCAAUUACUUUUCAGAUCCUUCUACUUUGCUUUAUUGGUGCUUCAUUCACACCAAGUUAGUAGUUUUGUGCUCUAGACUGUGGCCUUACAGCAAUUGAUGAGAGUUUCAUUUGUUACUCUUCCUGCCAGAGAGAGGUGAUACUUCAAAUACUUCUGUCAGAGCUGGAUGCAAAAUGUUCUCAAGAGAGUCUCUUUCUAUUGCACUACAGCCCAAGACUGCUAAUGUCAGUUUGUUGAUGGAGC